CUUGUGGUGGCUACCUCCAAAUUUCAAUUAUUCCUUGAGCUGGGGAGGGGCUAGAAAGUGGAAAGUUGUAGGAAAGGUUGUAAUAAAAAUAGGGUUUCUUCCCCCAGUUUCUGCUCCAUUUGCAUACUGGAGAUCAGUAGUGAAGCACUCGGAGGCUUCUGAGAGGUACAGCUACUUCCACACGUGCAGCUGUUAAACUAUUUGAGGGGUAUGGGCCACUUUUAGCCAGCUCAGGUGUGUGAUUCAUAACUGCAGGCUGGCAAACAAAUGUUUAGCUGUGAGAGGACUGAGGUGCACGGAGCAGCAAACGAGUGCCUCACAUGUGAGCCACACAUGAGCCAAACACACUGUUCUUGAGAUGAGCUUCCAAGGCUUUCUGGAACCUCUCUGGCUGAAGUGUGAAACUCCCUUGCUAGUGCUGACAGCCCCUCUCGUGACUUGUGGACAUGCUGCAACCCUUUGCAGAAAAAUACAGGAAGAAAUGCAGCUCUAAGUGACAGUUUUCAAAUUGCAGCCUGGCUUUGGAGGUAAUUUCAUCUUUCUGGAGAAAAAGUAGCAUCAGCAUUCAUACCACAGGGUAGGAGAAGAAAAAAAACCUGCAACUUUCUUCUUGUCUCACUUAAAAAUGGGAUUUGGAAAAAAAAAAAAAAAAAAAAAGCAGAACACCAAACAAAGUUUAGGUAAACCUCCUCAGAAAACAGUGUGGCAGAGGAAAUGAAGGCAAUAUGAUUCAUAGCAUUUCGGAAACAUAUUCUGGAAUUGGGAGGUUUCAAGGGCUUUGCAACUUCUGUCUUCUCAGAACUGUGGUCUGCCUCCAACUCAGCAACAGACUGAAAUGAAUUUGGAGUCACAGAAAGAGACUUAAGAGUGCAACUAAAUAUUAGCAGAAAGCAAACACCCUACAAUUGAGUGACUUUUGAACAAGUUAUUCUGCGCCAUGUUGCAGCUGAAAUAGGAUUGCUUCUUUAAACUUCUUGCCACAGGCAUCCUCCUUUAAAAAUGAAUGCAAUACUUUGUGCUGCCUUCACUGCCAGCACUAGCUUCAUUCCUUGUGGCUCUGUGAACUUCUCACUUAGUGUCACUGGGUGCAUCAGACCUAGACAAAAAAUCAGCAUUUCUGCACGCAUCAACUGUAUGUUUGCUAAGUUGGCAAUUUUUUUGUGAUACAUGUGGGUUCACCACUCAUAGUAUUAUGUUCCAGCUAGCAAAUGAAUAUAAACUGGAAGAACCAUAAUCCAACUGAUAGAAAAGGUAUGACCAAAAAAUUCAUAAUGUUCAAAGGUGAGUAGGGUUUGUUGGUUGGUUUGUUGUUUUUUGAAGUUUGCUGAACUUUCUCUGCUUUUUAUCCUCUUGGUGCCAUAAGUGAUGCUUUUGCUAAGUCACACACCAGCAUUUGCUGUUUUCAAGGAAUAAAAAUUCUCUUUCAGAGGAAACGUGUUCAUACAGUGCAAAACCACUUUCAUUUGCAUUACACCAACAUGAAUUCUUCUGCUCUUCUUAAGUGGAAAAUAUAUCGUAGCAGCUUUGAGGUCCAGCUUUCACAAAUGCCUGAAUUAUUUGUUUGCUUGUACUUAAUGGCCAGAAUGGAAUGAGUUGGGCUUCAGACCUAGAAUUAGGAUGCUCAAAUGCAAAUUAAUCAAAAUUCACAGGAAGAGUCCAUGUGUUUCUGGGACAUUCUGAAUGAAUGUGUGAUUUGUUCUCCUAGAUAGAUAUAAAAUAUCAUCUCAGAUAACAAGACUUAAAUAUCCAGAGUAAAAUGAGUCAGGAAAAGACAUUGCUCAGCAGAGAGCUGGGAGGUGAGUAAGAAACUGUCCUUGUCCUUGGGAAGAGUGCUGCAUGCAGUGGGGAAUUGGAAAGCUGAUGAACUUAGACACCUGGCUCUAAGGUGUCUUUUCUGCUGUGCUGUGAAUGGUUUCUGAUAUUUUGGUGUGUUUUUAAAGGCAUCAAAGACUGGACAGCCGCAGUGAGCUAAGCCAACAAGUCUUGUUCUGAGCAGGCUAUCACAGCCUGCAAACCCAAAAGGGAUUUGCUGCCUUCUUGUAAGAGGGGAGAUCCUGGAGACUUCAUCCAACUCCAGCUGAGCAGCAGAAACACCCUGGAAAGGAAAAUGCCAAGAGCUUAUGAUGCUCUCAGCUACCUGAAGAUGUACUGUGAUGUUCUUUCUGUCUAAGGUGCAAGUAAAUAAAAGAACAAGCUUAAUUUUCA